rnacentral:rRNA from 1 species
UGGGGAAUUUUGCGCAAUGGGCGAAAGCCUGACGCAGCGACGCCGCGUGAGUGACGAAGGCCUUCGGGUUGUAAAGCUCUGUUGAGGGGGAAGCGGUACCCCUUAAGAAAGCCCCGGCUAACUACGUGCCAGCAGCCGCGGUAAGACGUAGGGGGCGAGCGUUGUCCGGAAUUACUGGGUGUAAAGGGCGUGUAGGCGGCUAAGUAAGUCAGCUGUGAAAUUCCCCGGCUCAACUGGGGGCCUGCAGUUGAAACUACUUAGUUUGAGUGCAGGAGAGGAAGGUGGAAUUCCCAGUGUAGC